UCUCCCUCGCCUUCCCUGGCCCACUGACUUGGGUCCAACAGGGCUCAAAGGCUGGGCUUUACGCCCAAAAGAGGUUGACCUCAAGUGUCCGGGCUUCACAUCUUCAGAGAAGGCUCGGUGCCCUCACUGGGACACGCCUGGACUGUUUGGUGGCCUCAGUCAGUGAACUCGGCAGGAAACAGGAUGGAGGAGGCUGGGGCGGGAGGGGAGGAGGAAAACCACAGCAGCGCCCCGUAGAGGUGAACAGAGUGUGCCUGAGCACGCCACUUUUGCACCCAGGCAAGGUGGAGGAGGGAGGGUGGUGAUCUUUAUCCGUGCUCUUCCCUUAUCUGGUCCCAUUCCAGCUACGAUCCCCAUCCCACAUGGUGGAAGCCGCCCCCCCCCAUCCAAGGCCAGGUCCCAGCCCCCAAGAGGACAGUUCUUUCCUACCUGUGACAUUGCUGAAGAUGCUGAUGGUGAGGUUGUGGGGGGCAUCUGGGGUAGAAAGAUACGGCUCUGCUUCAGAGCUCAAACCCCACUACCCUGGGGGACCCUGCCCUCUCCCCAGCACUCACAGGAGACAUUGAGCCAGAUGGUUCUUUCCACGGUGGCCUGAGCUUCUGGCAGUUUCACCUGACAGGUGAGGUUGGUGCCAUGGUCCUGCGGCCUCGGGGUGAAGGUCACCACCGAGGAGUGCAGGGUCUCGGGGUCCAGCGAGUCCAGAGCAGCCCCCACCCAGGAGAAUGUGAGAGGUCUUUCCCCUUCGCAGGACCCCGGCAGGCUGCAGGUCAGCUCUGCGGGCCAGCCAGACUUGAGGGGCUCCGGGAAGUGGAUGUCGGGUUCCUGUGUCAGGGCUGAGGAGGAGACAGGGAGGUGCCCGGGCCCCAGGGAGGUGGGGACCCACGGGGUGACCCUGAGAGGGUCCGGGCCUCAGGGCCCAAGCUGACCCCGGGCCCCGUUAUCUCUUCCAACCGUCCCAGCCCCAAGACCCGCAGCAGGGAAUGUUCCGGCGUCCUGUGCCUGCUCUGAGAGGGGGUGUCCACAUCCCAGAGCCCUCCCCCGGGGCCCCUGCUGUACCUGCCACCCGCAGAGUCAUCGUCGUAUGUGUGUAAGUAUAUCUCACGUCUUCUCCUCUCUCCACUCGGAAAAA